AACCUGGGAACUGCAUUCGAAACUGGCAGGCUUGAGUCUUGUAGAGGGGGGUAGAAUUCCAGGUGUAGCGGUGAAAUGCGUAGAGAUCUGGAGGAAUACCGGUGGCGAAGGCGGCCCCCUGGACAAAGACUGACGCUCAGGUGCGAAAGCGUGGGGAGCAAACAGGAUUAGAUACCCUGGUAGUCCACGCCGUAAACGAUGUCUACUUGGAGGUUGUGCCCUUGAGGCGUGGCUUCCGGAGCUAACGCGUUAAGUAGACCGCCUGGGGAGUACGGCCGCAAGGUUAAAACUCAAAUGAAUUGACGGGGGCCCGCACAAGCGGUGGAGCAUGUGGUUUAAUUCGAUGCAACGCGAAGAACC
rnacentral:rRNA from 2 species